rnacentral:misc_RNA from 1 species
AAAAAUGAAACCUUAGAAUAAACAAUGAUUUAAUUCUUACAUAGUGGUCCACUAACUCAUUUAAGUGGACCACUAAAGCUUCAUUUGGGCAGAAUAUACAUCUUCAUCUUCAACCUUAGAACCAGCAGAAAAUUUGCUCCCAAAAAACUCCAUUGACGCAUGGUUGAAGCUCCAUGCAUAUGAGAUUCAAGCUUCUUUCCUUCUACCUUCCUUCAUCAAAGUUAGUCUACA